UAGUGCAGCAACUAAGGUGACCGCAAUGGCUCAUUAAAUCAGUUAUGAUUUAUUAGAUCAUACAUUAUAUUACUUGGAUAACUGUGGCAAUUCUAGAGCUAAUACAUGCAAACAGAGUUUGUGCCUUUACCGGCAGAAACGCUUUUAUUAGAUCAAAACCAAUACGUUAGUUUCGGCUAACGCUUUAACUGGUGACUCUGAAUAACUUUUUGAUGAUCGCAUGGUCUUUGUGCCAGCGACAAAUCUUUCAAAUGUCUGACUUAUCAACUGUCGAUGGUAGCUUUUACGCCUACCAUGGUUGUAACGGGUAACGGGGAAUCAGGGUUCGAUUCCGGAGAGGGAGCCUGAGAAACGGCUACCACAUCCAAGGAAGGCAGCAGGCGCGCAAAUUACCCACUUCCAGCGCGGAGAGGUAGUGACGAAAAAUAACGAUACGGGACUCAUCCGAGGCCCCGUAAUCGGAAUGAGCACACUUUAAAUACUUUAACAAGUAUCCAUUGGAGGGCAAGUCUGGUGCCAGCAGCUGCGGUAACUCCAGCUCCAAUAGCGUAUAUUAAAGUUGUUGCGGUUAAAAAGCUCGUAGUUGAGAUUGUGUCUCACGAUGUUGGUGCACCAGUUAUGGUGUUUACUUACAUGCCGUGGGACGUCCUGUCGGUGAAGUUUACUUUGGUUAUUGUGUGUUUCUUUUGUUCUUUUUUAUUAAUAAAGAAGACAAUUGGACUGCAGUGGCUGGUAACUUCUAUUUGACCCAUUACGGUGCUCUUUAUUGAGUGUCGUGACGGGCCGACACGUUUACUUUGAACAAAUUAGAGUGCUAAAAGCAGGCAUUUUGCUUGAAUAUUGUGUGCAUGGAAUAAUAGAAUAGGACCUCGGUUCUAUUUUGUUGGUUUUCUGAACCAGAGGUAAUGAUUAAGAGGAACGGGACGGGGGCAUUCGUAUUGAGACGUUAGAGGUGAAAUUCUUGGAUCGUCUCAAGACGGACAGAAGCGAAAGCAUUUGCCAAGAACGUUUUCAUUAAUCAGACGAAAGUUAGAGGU
rnacentral:rRNA from 1 species